UAAUUUAAAUAUUUACAAUUUAAUCUGCAUUAUAUUUAAUAGAUAUUUCUUUGGAUAAUUGGAAAUCGUAAUGUCCUGCGAACUUUUUCAAUAUCAUCUUUCUCAAUACCCGUUGUAUUAAUAUUAAUAAUGCGAAUAUCGCAUGAAAUCAAUUUUCCCUUCUACUCCUAUCUUCAAAACGUGGUAGAUCCAUAAUGACCGAUGUCAUCAACAUAACCAAGAAGCAUUAUGUCCUUACAUAUAUCCUCAUUCCUGGAGUCGUUCGACAAUUGGCCCAGCUACCAAGCUCCUCCCAUACCGAAUUGAAUCCGCAACCAAUAGACGAUGUGCAAGGUGAUUUUAGUCGGGAGAUGGUGAUGGCCCGAAAUUGUAAAAUCAGUGCAGCAGUGGGUGUCCCGUAGCCAGCUACGGGCUGCGAUCCUCCUUAUAAGUCUUCCAUAAUGGCCUUCUUGGGAACCAAACGGUUCUGCGGCAUCCACAUUCAAGUCACUCAUUCGUUGUAUGCUCGUCGUCAUUGUUCGGAAAAUUGUUGCUCCGUUUGACUUCUUCAAUGACUACCAGUGUCUCUCCACUAGCCAGUCAUCCCGCAUCAUCUAAGCAGCCAUCGCACCAUCCACCAUCAUGGCUUGUCCUCUCGAUCAUGUUGGUCAUCUACGCAUUUAUCAUUUCCAGUUGAUGUGGUUCCCGGCCAGUUGAACCAUAAGGCAAUAGGCGUCAAAAGCCUCGACUAAGUCUUCCAUUUAUUGGGCCUUAAUAUAAGUACUGGGGUUAAGUCAUAACAACAUCCUGGUGCCUUGUUAGGUUAAUAGACCUCAUACCUCAGAAACCAAGUCUUCCAGAGAUUUCUCUCGUCAUUUUUUUGUCAAUAACUUUUUAGUAUUAAAUAGUUAUGUAUAGUGACCGUAGUUCAGGUGGUCGCGAUCGUCAAUUAGACGAUCCCGUCGAUGGUAAGGUGAUUUUUGAAAGAUUGUGGAAGGGAACUUUUCGUGCACUGAUUGCUUCUAGAAUGGUAUAUAAUAAAAGUAGAUCUACUCUUCGAAGUGUUGUAAGGUAAGCACUUAAAAUAUUUUAAUUCAGAGCCCAUUAAGUCGUUUUUGUUUUAGAUAUAUCGUGUAUGUCUACUUUAGAUCCGAUGUGUAUUAGCUACGAUUAACGUAUAGGCCUACAACAAAAAGCACUUGAUGCGUUUUCAAUUUAUUAAUUUCACAGGCUAAUUGAUUCUGUCUGCAAUACCUUCAAACGACGCGCCUGUAUAUUAAAUGU
rnacentral:lncRNA from 1 species